AAGAUUAAGCCAUGCGUGUCUAAGUGUAAGCAAUCUAUACAGUGAAACUGCGAAUGGCUCAUUGAAUCAGUUAUCGUUUAUUGAUAGUGCAUUACUACAAGGAUAACUGUGGUAAUUAGAGCCAAUACAUGCGUAAAGUCCCAUUUGGGAUGUAUUUAUUAGAUAAAAACCAAUGUCUUCGGACUUUUUGGUGCUUCAUAAUAACACCUAGCGCAU
rnacentral:rRNA from 1 species